GCCACAACUCCGCGACGCCGGACGAGCAAGCGCACAUGGCGAAAUACUGCGGAUACGACCACAUCGACUCCUUGGUCGACGACACCGUCCCGAAACAGAUCCGAAUCGACUCGAUGAAGUUCUCCAAAUUCGACGGAGGCCUCACCGAGAGCGAGAUGAUGGCUCACAUGACCGAGCUCGCCUCCAAGAACAAGGUCUUCAAGUCCUUCAUCGGGAUGGGGUACUACAACACACACGUCCCCACCGUGAUCAUCCGCAACAUCCUGGAGAACCCCGC
rnacentral:lncRNA from 1 species